rnacentral:misc_RNA from 1 species
CCAAACUUGGUCAUUUAGAGGAAGUAAAAGUCGUAACAAGGUCUCCGUUGGUGAACCAGCGGAGGGAUCAUUAACGAGUGUAAAAACUCACCAAACCCUGUGAACAUACCUUUUUGUUGCUUCGGCGGGAAUCGCCCCGGGCUCGCUCGCGUGCCCCGGAUCCAGGCGCCCGCCGGAGGACCCCAAACUCUUGUAUUCUGUGAUGGUUUUAUCUGAGUGGCUUCUAUAAGCAAAUGAAUCAAAACUUUCAACAACGGAUCUCUUGGUUCUGGCAUCGAUGAAGAACGCAGC